rnacentral:rRNA from 1 species
AUUUGGCUUCCCUGAUGUUUAGCGGCGGACGGGUGAGUAACACGUGGGUAACCUGCCUGUAAGACUGGGAUAACUCCGGGAAACCGGGGCUAAUACCGGAUGGUUGUCUGAACCGCAUGGUUCAGACAUAAAAGGUGGCUUCGGCUACCACUUACAGAUGGACCCGCGGCGCAUUAGCUAGUUGGUGAGGUAACGGCUCACCAAGGCGACGAUGCGUAGCCGACCUGAGAGGGUGAUCGGCCACACUGGGACUGAGACACGGCCCAGACUCCUACGGGAGGCAGCAGUAGGGAAUCUUCCGCAAUGGACGAAAGUCUGACGGAGCAACGCCGCGUGAGUGAUGAAGGUUUUCGGAUCGUAAAGCUCUGUUGUUAGGGAAGAACAAGUGCCGUUCAAAUAGGGCGGCACCUUGACGGUACCUAACCAGAAAGCCACGGCUAACUACGUGCCAGCAGCCGCGGUAAUACGUAGGUGGCAAGCGUUGUCCGGAAUUAUUGGGCGUAAAGGGCUCGCAGGCGGUUUCUUAAGUCUGAUGUGAAAGCCCCCGGCUCAACCGGGGAGGGUCAUUGGAAACUGGGGAACUUGAGUGCAGAAGAGGAGAGUGGAAUUCCACGUGUAGCGGUGAAAUGCGUAGAGAUGUGGAGGAACACCAGUGGCGAAGGCGACUCUCUGGUCUGUAACUGACGCUGAGGAGCGAAAGCGUGGGGAGCGAACAGGAUUAGAUACCCUGGUAGUCCACGCCGUAAACGAUGAGUGCUAAGUGUUAGGGGGUUUCCGCCCCUUAGUGCUGCAGCUAACGCAAUUAAGCACUCCGCCUGGGGAGUACGGGUCGCAAGACUGAAACUCAAAAGGAAUUGAACGGGGGCCCGGCACAAAGCGGGUGGAAGCAUGUGGGUUUAAAUUUCGAAAGUAAACGGCGAAAGAACUCAUAACCAGGGUCUUUGAACGAUACCUCUGAACUAUUCCUAGAGAUAAGGACGCCCCCCCUUUCCGGGGGCCAUAGUGGACAAGGGUGUAUGCAUUGCUG